UUUGCAUUAUGACUUAGCGAGCAUCAUCCAAGCAAAGCGUCCUUUAGUUUGGCCCCCCGAAACUACGUGAGCUACUCCAAGGCAGCCUGCCAUGAAGGGCAAACCCGUCUCUGUGGCAAAAGAGUGGGAAGAACUUUGAGUAGAGGUGAAAUACCUACCGAACCUAGUUAUAGCUGGUUGUCUGAGAAAUGGAUAUGAGUUCAGCCUCCAGGCUUCCCUUUUCACCACGGUUUUUUACUCCACCGAUAACUUGAGAAACCAGGAGAGUUAGUCAAAGGGGGUCCAGCCCUUUUGACMCAAGACACAACUUUUCCAGGUGGGUAAAGAUCAUAAUAUUUUAAGGUUUUAUGUUCCAGGUGGGCCUGAAAGCAGCCAUCCUCUCUGAAAGCGUUAAAGCUCGAACAUCCAACCGCAACCAUAUAUUCAGAUAAUUUAAUCCAAGCCCCCUAACAUUAUCAGACCAUCUCAUGCAAACAUGAGAGUGCACAUGCUAAGAUGAGUAAUAAGAGAGCACCUGACUCUCUCCUCGCACAGGUGUAAAUCAGAACGAACCCCCACCGAAAAUUAACGGUCCCAAACAAAGAGGGUAAUGGACGCACAAUGUGAACAACCAGAAAACCAUCCAAAAGAAACCGUUAACCCUACACCGGUGUGCCCACAAGGAAAGACUAAAAGAAGGAAAAGGAACUCGGCAAACACCAAGCCUCGCCUGUUUACCAAAAACACCGCCUCUUGCAUUACAAGAAUAAGAGGUCCAGCCUGCCCAGUGACUAUAAGUUCAACGGCCGCGGUAUUUUAACCGUGCAAAGGUAGCGUAAUCACUUGUCUUUUAAAUGAAGACCCGUAUGAAUGGCUAGACGAGGGCUUAACUGUCUCUUCCUUCAGGUCAAUGAAAUUGAUCUCCCCGUGCAGAAGCGGGGAUAGAACCAUAAGACGAGAAGACCCUAUGGAGCUUCAGACACUCGAGCAUAUCAUGUUAAACACCCUAAAACAAAAGGUUAAACUUAGUGAAUAAAUGCUGCCGUGUCUUCGGUUGGGGCGACCCCGGGGAAACAAAAAACCCCCGUGUGGAAUGAGAGUACUAUCUCCCAAAGCUAAGAGCUGCCGCUCAAAUAAUCAGAACUUCUGACCAAAACAGAUCCGGCAAGACCGAUUAACGGACCAAGUUACCCUAGGGAUAACAGCGCAAUCCCCUUUUAGAGCCCCUAUCGACAAGGGGGUUUACGACCUCGAUGUUGGAUCAGGACAUCCUAAUGGUGCAACCGCUAU
rnacentral:rRNA from 1 species